rnacentral:rRNA from 1 species
UUCCGGUUGAUCCUGCCGGACCUGACUGCUAUCGGAUUGAUACUAAGCCAUGCUAGUCUUUGUAGUAAUACAAGGCAUACGGCUCAGUAACGCGUAGUCAACCUACCCUAUGGACGGGGAUAAUCUCGGGAAACUGAGCAUAAUACCCGGCAGACCACUUAUCCUGGAAUGGUUAGUGGUUAAAAUGAUUCGUCGCCAUAGGAUGGGACUGCGGCCUAUCAGCUUGUUGGUGAGGUAAUGGCCCACCAAGGCGAUUACAGGUACGGGCUCUGAGAGGAGAGGCCCGGAGAUGGGUACUGAGACAAGGACCCAGGCCCUAUGGGGCGCAGCAGGCGAGAAAACUUUGCAAUGUGCGAAAGCACGACAAGGUUAAUCCGAGUGAUUUCUGCUAAAGGAAUCUUUUGUUAGUCCUAGAAACACUAACGAAUAAGGGGUGGGCAAGUUCUGGUGUCAGCCGCCGCGGUAAAACCAGCACCUCAAGUGGUCAGGAUGAUUAUUGGGCCUAAAGCAUCCGUAGCCGGCUCUGUAAGUUUUCGGUUAAAUCUGUACGCUCAACGUACAGGCUGCCGGGAAUACUGCAGAACUAGGGAGUGGGAGAGGUAGACGGUACUCGGUAGGAAGUGGUAAAAUGCUUUGAUCUAUCGAUGACCACCUGUGGCGAAGGCGGUCUACCAGAACACGUCCGACGGUGAGGGAUGAAAGCUGGGGGAGCAAACCGGAUUAGAUACCCGGGUAGUCCCAGCUGUAAACUAUGCAAACUCAGUGAUGCAUUGGCUUGUGGCCAAUGCAGUGCUGCAGGGAAGCCGUUAAGUUUGCCGCCUGGGAAGUACGUACGCAAGUAUGAAACUUAAAGGAAUUGGCGGGGGAGCACCACAAGGGGUGAAGCCUGCGGUUCAAUUGGAUUCAACGCCGGG